GCGAACGCUGGCGGCAGGCCUAACACAUGCAAGUCGAACGAACCUUUCGGGGUUAGUGGCGGACGGGUGAGUAACACGUGGGAACGUGCCUUUAGGUUCGGAAUAACUCAGGGAAACUUGUGCUAAUACCGAAUGUGCCCUUCGGGGGAAAGAUUUAUCGCCUUUAGAGCGGCCCGCGUCUGAUUAGCUAGUUGGUUGAGGUAAUGGCUCACCAAGGCGACGAUCAGUAGCUGGUCUGAGAGGAUGAUCAGCCACAUUGGGACUGAGACACGGCCCAAACUCCUACGGGAGGCAGCAGUGGGGAAUCUUGCGCAAUGGGCGAAAGCCUGACGCAGCCAUGCCGCGUGAAUGAUGAAGGUCUUAGGAUUGUAAAAUUCUUUCAACGGGGACGAUAAUGACGGUACCCGGAGAAGAAGCCCCGGCUAACUUCGUG
rnacentral:rRNA from 1 species